rnacentral:rRNA from 1 species
UUUUUUAAUUGAAAGCUUGUAUGAAUGAUUGAAUGAAGUAUAUACUGUUUCAUAAAAAUUAAAUUAAAAUUUAAACUUUUAGUUAAAAAGCUAAAAUAAAAUUAAAGGACGAUAAGACCCUAUAAAGUUUUAUAAUUUUAAUAUAAUAAUAUUUUUAAUUUAAUUAAUAUUUUUAUAAUUAAAAUUAUUUUGUUGGGGAGAUAAUAAAAUUUACAAAACUUUUAUUUUUUAAAACAUUGAUUAAUGAUUUUAUGAUCCUAUAUUAUAGAUUAAAAAUUUAAAUUACUUUAGGGAUAACAGCGUUAUUUUUUUUUUAAGUUCUUAUUUAUAAGAAAGAUUGC